UACGGAGGAUGCGAGCGUUAUCCGGAUUUAUUGGGUUUAAAGGGUGCGUAGGCGGAUUACUAAGUCAGUGGUGAAAACCUGCAGCUUAACUGUAGAAUUGCCAUUGAUACUGAUAGUCUUGAGUACGGUCAAGGUAGGCGGAAUGUGUAAUGUAGCGGUGAAAUGCUUAGAUAUUACACAGAACACCGAUUGCGAAGGCAGCUUACUGGGCCAUUACUGACGCUGAUGCACGAAAGCGUGGGGAGCGAACAGGAUUAGAUACCCUGGUAGUCCACGCCGUAAACGAUGAUCACUCGCUGUUAGCGAUACACAGUUAGCGGCUAAGCAAAAGCAUUAAGUGAUCCACCUGGGGAGUACGGCCGCAAGGCUG
rnacentral:rRNA from 1 species